AGUGUCACAGUGUAGUGAUACAGAAAACUCAGCAGGUCCAAAGCAGGACAACACCCUCUCGACCAUGGCAGUAAAGUUUAUGGCUUUGAAAUCAUAACCUACUGCUUCAAAACUUGCAUAGCUGAAUCCAUCCUCAGGGGUGACAUGAAUUGUAGAGAUUGCUGGCCCCUCGGAGGUAGCGUUCAUUGAGUAACCGCAAGGGUCAAAGUCAAAGUCGCAUAUAUUUGGUUCUGGAAGAAUUUUCUGAAUGCCUGAAAUUUCAGUCAUCUCAGCAGCAGUGCUUGAUUGAGUCUUGAAAAAUACGGAUGCCUUCUUCUUGUCGAGACUAGUCAUGCACAUCUCCAGUGUAUAAACUGGAUUCGGGUUAUUGGCAUUGGCAGAUUCAGCUGAAGCAGAAUAGACAUGCCAGUUCUGUUGUUUAUC
rnacentral:lncRNA from 1 species